rnacentral:tRNA from 1 species
GCGUCGGUGGCUCAGUGGUUAAGCAGUUGACUUGUAAUCUACAGGUCCUGGAUUCGAAUCCCGGCAUGUA